GAACCACCUCACCACUUUCACAGUUUUCCAAAAAAAAAAAAAGACAAACCAACGACCGCGCUGUGAGCUCUCGCGGGGAUAGGGUUCGAGCCGCCGCCCCUCGGCCUGGCCGCCGGCGGCGCGCUGCUCCUCCGGCCACCCCUCUUCUCCCUCACCGUACGCCGCUCCUGAGUAGCAUGCAGCUCGCCGGACCAUGCGCCGCCCCCUGAGCAGCGCCUAGCUCGCUGGACCGAUUCGUGCCAGCCCCGCCCACCUGAGCUCCGCCUCUGCAAGUGUCGACUCCCCCUCCAACGCCCUCUGCCCCUCAUGGCAUCUCUCUCCACUCUUCUCCUCCAUCCAAGAUUUGGUGGUCCGACUCAUAUCCUAGACGCGAUGGUCAGAUCGUCGCCAGCCCCUAUCCUGACCCCAAGGUCACAGGCAGCAUCGAUCCGGACGCGCAGGUCGCCGCCACCCCCAACCUUGACGCCCCUGCCCUGGGCAACAGGGCUCUUAAAAUGCAUUCCAGAGGAUUCAACAUCUUGGAGAUAUUCGAAACGGGAAGAGAAAAAAUGGCUCAUGUCCACCAUAUUUAGAGCAUGUAGCCUUCUGAUGUGUUCACAAAUUUUCUGUCAUGUGGUGUUUAUUAAUGAAGUGAUGUUCACUUCUGAAGCAAAAAUGGUGUUGCAGUCUGGUUGCAUGUAGCCUGAACCGAAGCUAUAUUAUUUUCAGGUGAUUUCUAACUUGCAACUACAAUUCACAUAUGCAUGUUGUAUACAGCCACGGUUCAUAUAUGCAUGUUGGGUACACC
rnacentral:rRNA from 1 species